UACGUAGGGUGCGGGCGUUGUCCGGAUUUAUUGGGCGUAAAGAGCUCGUAGGCGGUUUGUUGCGUCGGCUGUGAAAACCCGGGGCUCAACUCCGGGCCUGCAGCCGAUACGGGCAGACUAGAGUUCGGCAGGGGAGACUGGAAUUCCUGGUGUAGCGGUGAAAUGCGCAGAUAUCAGGAGGAACACCGGUGGCGAAGGCGGGUCUCUGGGCCGAUACUGACGCUGAGGAGCGAAAGCGUGGGGAGCGAACAGG
rnacentral:rRNA from 1 species